GGGGUUAUAGCUCAGUUGGGAGAGCGCUUGCAUGGCAUGCAAGAGGUCAUCGGUUCGAUCCCGAUUAGCUCCACCA
rnacentral:tRNA from 4 species